CCCGCAGCAAUGUGGGCCGCAGCUAAAGAUUUCAAGCGACUGUUUACCAAAAACACAGGUCCCUGCUAAAGCGCAAGCUGAUGUAUAGGGACUGAUGCCUGGCCAGUGUCCGAACGUUAAGGGGAGGGGUUCACGCCCUGAACCGAAGCGCGGAUGAACGCCAGCAGUAACUAUAACUGUUCUAAGGUAGCGAAAUUCCUUGUCGGGUAAGUUCCGACCUGCACGAAUGGCAUAACGACUUGAAAACUGUCUCAACGAGGGACUUGGCGAAAUUGCGAGAAGAGUGAAGAUGCUCUUAACCCAUGGUUAGACGAAAAGACCCCGUGAAGCUUUACUAUAGCUUGAUAUUGGUAUAUUGAUUUUUGUGUUUAGAAUAGGUGGGAGACUCUGAAGCUAGCGCGCUAGCGCUGGUGGAGUCGCCAGUGAAAUACCACCCUCAAAGUUCGGUAUAUCUAACACUCGACCGUUAGCCGGUCAGUGGACAGUAUCUGGUGGGUAGUUUGACUGGGGCGGUGGCCUCCUAAAAGAUAACGGAGGCGUUUACAAAGGUCGGCUAGCGCUGGAUGGAAAUCAGCGCGAUAGGGCAAACCCAUAAGCCGGCUUUACUGCAAGGGCGACCACCCGAGCAGUUGCGAAAGCAGAAGUUAGUGAUCCGACCGUAAAAGUUUGUAAUUUAUUACAAAUCCGAUAUAGGACGGCGGAAGCUCAACGGAUAAAAGUUACUCCGGGGAUAACAGGCUGAUCUCCUCCAAGAGUCCACAUCGACGAGGAGGUUUGGCACCUCGAUGUCGGCUCAUCGCAUCCUGGGGCUGAAGAAGGUCCCAAGGGUCCGGCUGUUCGCCGGUUAAAGCGGUACGCGAGCUGGGUUCAGAACGUCGUAAGACAGUUCGGUCUCCUAUCUACUAUGGGCGUUGAAUUUUGAAGGAGCUCCACUCUAGUACGAGAGGACCGAGUGGAACGCAUCUCUUGUGUACCGGCUGUGACACCAGUUGCAUUGCCGGGUAGCGACAUGCGGCAGUGAUAAGCGCUGAAAGCAUCUAAGCGCGAAGCACUUCCCAAGAUAAGAAUUCGUUAUAGGGCGGUCGGAGAUGACGACCUUGAUAGGCUCUAGGUGUAAGCAUAGCAAUAUGUUCAGCCAAGGAGUACUAAUAGCCCGAGUGC
rnacentral:rRNA from 1 species